rnacentral:lncRNA from 13 species
CUGAGGGCAAGGAAUGAGUCCUGGUGCUUAGCAGCCUUGUUCAGGGUCUCCAGCUUCCUCUUCCUUCAGCCCAAGAAAGAAAGAAAAAGAGAAAGGGAGAGAGAGAACAGGCAUCUUGCUCUAUUGCCCAGGCUGGAAUGCAAUCUAAAAAUAGGAGAUUUGGAGCUGAAACGAGAUUGUUCCUUAACCUCCCUCAUGACAUGCAAGAAGGGUGUGGCUCAUCUGCUCUGCUACCACUCACACUCAAACACCUUACAGGAAGGGAAGCACAAAGAAUGACAAGUGCAGGAGCUGGGAGAUGGAGUUUCACCAUGUUGCCCAAGCUGUUCUCAAACUCCUGAGCUCAAGUGAUCCACCAACCUUGGCCUCCCAGAGUGCUGGGAUUACAGUUCUGCAGCAUGCAAGUCCAAUUGAAGGUGUCAGCAGAUUUGGUUUCUCCUUAAGACUCUCUCCUUGGCUUGCCAAUUGCCACCUUCUUGCUGUGUCCUCACAUAGCCUUUUCUCUGUGAUCAAGAUGCAGAAAAGAGAAACAAGUGUCACUGGCAAUCAAGACGUGAACACUGGAGGGUCCAUUGUGCCAUUGGAACCAGCCUAGAACAUAACAGUUACGUUUUUAUUAAAAGCCCCUUAUGCAAAUAUGUG